GACGAACGCUGGCGGCGUGCUUAACACAUGCAAGUCGAACGGAAAGGCCCUGCUUUUGUGGGGUGCUCGAGUGGCGAACGGGUGAGUAACACGUGAGUAACCUGCCCUUGACUUUGGGAUAACUUCAGGAAACUGGGGCUAAUACCGGAUAGGAGCUCCUGCUGCAUGGUGGGGGUUGGAAAGUUUCGGCGGUUGGGGAUGGACUCGCGGCUUAUCAGCUUGUUGGUGGGGUAGUGGCUUACCAAGGCUUUGACGGGUAGCCGGCCUGAGAGGGUGACCGGCCACAUUGGGACUGAGAUACGGCCCAGACUCCUACGGGAGGCAGCAGUGGGAAAUAUUGCACAGUGGGCGGAAGCCUGAUGCAGCAGCGCCGCGUGCGGGAUGACGGCCUUCGGGUUGUGAACCGCUUUCGCCUGUGACGAAGCGUGAGUGACGGUAAUGGGUAAAGAAGCACCGGCUAACUACGUG
rnacentral:rRNA from 1 species